rnacentral:SRP_RNA from 1 species
CCGUUGGGGCUUGUGCAAUGGGAACCUAUGAACCUUGUCAGGUCCGAGAGGAAGCAGCAAUAAGUAGAUCUUUCCAUGUGCCACGAGGAAACCUGGCGGGUUA